CGGAGGGUAGGACAACGGCAGUCCGCCACCUUGGGGUGGUGGUAAUCCGGGUUCAAUUCCCGGCCCUCCGA
rnacentral:tRNA from 1 species